rnacentral:misc_RNA from 1 species
GAUGAAGAACGUAGCGAAAUGCGAUAAGUAAUGCGAAUUGCAGAAUCCGUGAGUCAUCGAAUCUUUGAACACACAUUGCGCCCUCUGGUAUUCCGGAGGGCAUGCCUGUUCGAGCGUCAUUAUCACCCCUCAAGCCCGGCUUGUUGUUGGAUGCAGCGCUUAUCCCGCUCCUCCCAAAGAUAAUGACGGCGUCUGCGACGACUCCUGUACACUGAGCUUUCGGGCACGUACACGGCUAGAAGUCCAGACCCGGUCGCCGUCCCCCCCGCGGGGACACCCAUUACCACAAGGUUGACCUCGGAUCAGGUAGGAAUACCCGCUGAACUUAAGCAUAUCAAUAAGCGGAGGA